CCCCUCAAUGCCAUAAACCAGUCAUUCAUAGAGAGACAGCUUAACCAAAUUACAUACCAGGAUUUGGAAAAGGAAGAGAGCUAUGAGUGACUGCCGCUGGAGCCUGGGGGGUUGUGCACCCAGUCAAGAAUGAUGAGGGACAAGCUGCCAAUCAUGAAGAUGACUCCCACCACGAGGAAGAUGGCCGCCUGCAGGGAGAGGACAGAGACAGGUCCAAAACGGUUAGACUGGAGGGAACACAAUGUUUAACACCUGUAGAGUGAUACAGUGAGAAAAAGACUAAGAAGAAGCAGGACUCACCGAUGAAGCCGAAGAUGUCCCUGAUGGUGGGCACAAAAAUGACCAAGAGGUUGUUGAAGACCAGGAUCCCAGCGGCGAUGAGCAUGUGUCUGAUCCAACUGA